rnacentral:rRNA from 1 species
UACGUAGGGCGCAAGCGUUGUCCGGAAUUAUUGGGCGUAAAGAGCUCGUAGGCGGCUUGUCACGUCGGGUGUGAAAGCCCGGGGCUUAACCCCGGGUCUGCAUUCGAUACGGGCUAGCUAGAGUGUGGUAGGGGAGAUCGGAAUUCCUGGUGUAGCGGUGAAAUGCGCAGAUAUCAGGAGGAACACCGGUGGCGAAGGCGGAUCUCUGGGCCAUAACUGACGCUGAGGAGCGAAAGCGUGGGGAGCGAACAGG